rnacentral:tmRNA from 1 species
GGGGGCGACCAGGUUCGACGUAGGUAGUCGGGUUUGAGCAGCGAGCAUGGGAGCCGUGCCCAUUAAAGCGGCAAAAAUACAAGAGCCAAUACCAAUUACGCUCUAGCAGCCUAAGACGGCUGCUCGGUGACCGGGGAGACUUCUCUUCUAUCCUCGAGUCGCCGUCACGCAGAAGAGAUACCUGCAGGGGGAUGUCGGGGACCCUUCAGGGAAAGCAAUUCCCGGCUGGCGGAUAGCGGAGCCCGCUCCGGGGCGUCGCGGUUCGCGAGACUAAAACCGGAGAUACGCUCGUAGAGACUGAAACCGGGUUGUCUGCGGACGAGGGUGCGAUUCCCUCCGCCUCCACCA